rnacentral:rRNA from 1 species
AUGUCCUUGAUCCUCAAAGAUGUACGAUCAUGUGUGCAUCUUCCACCGAUCUGGCAGCAACCAAACUUGAAAUAUCUGAGAAUUGAUGGAGCACAUGCAGUUACCAAGGUGGGACCUGAAUUUGUUGGUUGCAAGAAGGGUGAUCCUGUAUGUGAUGAGUUGGUUGCUUUCCCAAAACUUGAAUGGUUGAUCUUCACAGAUAUGCCCAACUGGGAGGAGUGGUCUUUUUUUGAGGAAGAAGUUGCUGCUGCUGAUGGAUGGGGAGAGGAUGGAGCUGCUGAGAUUCUAAAAGAGGAUGCCCAACCUGCAAGGGUGCGACUGCUGCCUCGUUUGUGGGAAUUGCAACUCCACGGUUGCCCGAAGCUGAGGGAUCUCCCGCAACAGCUUGGAAAAUACACCACCGGUUUGAAGGAGCUCAAUUUAGGAGGACUAAACAACUUGAAGGCGGUGGAGGACCUCCCAGUGCUCUGUGAGGUCCUUGUUAUUGGGUAUUGUGAAGGCCUGGAGAGAAUCUGCAACCUCCCUCAAGUGACUGAGCUGCGUGUAUUUGGUUGUCCGAUCUUAAGCCAUGUAGAGGGGCUGGACAGUUUGCAGCGGCUGGGGCUGGGCAAGGAUAUGCAAGAGAUCUCUUCCCGCUGGGUGCCUGGGCUUCAAGAGCAGCACCGGCGGCUUCAUGGCCAAGACCUGGAUGUCUACACUUCGUCUAGCAGUUAG